AGCAAAGAAGACAGAGUGAGUUCGUCUGCCACGCUCGCCGCACCGAAGGAGCACCCCGUGAAGGCCUGGAUUAUCUUGCCGUUGCUAGUGGCCAGUGCGAAAACAUAGUGAAGGCCAACGUGUUCGCAAAGACGAAGCGGUGCGUUAUAUAAACGUUAAAAUCGAUUGUCCUCGAAAUAAGACCCCCUACGAUCGGUAGAAAAGGCGUUAGCUCUUUGCUGCCGCAAGAAAGCGCAUGAAGGAACAACAUAAAUUGAGGCAAAGGGGUAACCGUCCGGAUCGGUGCAAUCGGAUAAGCUAAGCAGGCAAAAGUAGCGCCAAAAAAGGCAAAAGCAGCGAACUCGGGUGGGGUAACAGCACCGAACGUAAGAAGCAAGGCUUCGCAUAGCCAAGUGAGCGAAUCAAGGCAGGAAACGCAGGCAGCGAAGCGGAUAAUCCGGAAAGAAAAGGCUUGAGUCUGAGGGCGCUGUUCACGCUCCAAGGUGUCCAAAUUUCACCGGAAGAAUCGAACGGAGUCGAAAUUCCGACCAAGAGAGCCUCCACUAGGAGGCUCUUGUUUCUGGUUUUGGCUUCGUUUGAGUCAACGUGCGGUCGAAAGUGCUCCAAGGCACGGUCGUAGGAGCGAUCUAAGGUGUGGACUAGUCGGCAGGCCGCCUCCCCCUCCCCAACCAGUACUUC